UUAAAAAGCUCGUAGUUGGAUUUCUGCAUUGGUGAACAGACCCGGUUUCAAAACUGGUUGUCUUGUCUCAUCGGUGCAUCUUGCCACAAUCUGCACUGGCUUUAAUUAGUCGGUGUUAGGGACUGGCUCGUUUACUUUGAGAAAAUUAGAGUGUUCAAAGCAGGCUCUUGCCUUGAAUAUGUUAGCAUGGAAUAAUAAUAUAGGACUUUGGUCCUAUUUUGUUGGUUGUUCGAGGACCGAAGUAAUGAUUGAUAGGGACAGUUGGGGGCAUCAGUAUUCUGAAGCGAGAGGUGAAAUUCUUGGACCUUCGGAAGACUAACAACUGCGAAAGCAUUUGCCUAGGAUGUUCUCUUAAAUCAAGAACGAAAGUUGGGGGAUCGAAGACGAUCAGAUACCGUCGUAGUCUCAACUAUAAACUAUGCCAGCUAGGGAUUGGUGGACGUUUUAUUACGACUCCAUCAGCACCUUAUGAGAAAUCAAAGCAUUUGGGUUCCGGGGGGAGUAUGGUCGCAAGGCUGAAACUUAAAGGAAUUGACGGGAGGGCACCACCAGGAGUGGAGCCUGUGGCUUAAUUUGACUCAAC
rnacentral:rRNA from 1 species